UACGAAGGGGGCUAGCGUUGGUCGGAUUUACUGGGCGUCAAGGGCGCGUAGGCGGAUUUUUAAGUCGGGGGUGAAAUCCCGGAGCUCAACUCCGGAACUGCCUUCGAUACUGAAAGUCUGGAGCACGGUAGAGGUGAGUGGAAUUCCGAGUGUAGAGGUGUAAUUCGUAGAUAUUCGGAGGAACCCCAGUGGCGAAGGCGGCUCACUGGACCGUUGCUGACGCUGAGGCGCGAAAGCGUGGGGCGCAAAAAGG
rnacentral:rRNA from 1 species